GGCUGGGGCCGGGCGGCACUCUGAUUGGCCGGCCGUAGCGGGGCGGGCCCGAGGGGGCGGGUCUGGCGCUCGGGGAGCGCCGUGCGUGAGGGGCGGCGGGGCGGGGCUCGGCGUGGCGGUCGCUUUCGGCCGGACGUCGGCGCCGUGUCGAAGGAUGUGUCUCUCGCUGUCUGUCCCUCCCUCCCUCCCGCCGUCUGUCUGGUGCGGGCCGUCCUGGUCCUCGGGGGCCUCAGCCAGGCCUGCGCAGAGCAGGUUACCCCGGCAGCGUGGUUGGCGGCGGGCAGCUGUGAGGUGCCUGCCUGUUGUCCCGUGGGAGACUUGACACAGAAACGGAGUUUUUUGUUUUUUUUAAUUAUAGCGGGGGGUGGAGGGGGAAUAAAGCCCUCGCCAGAUCUUCCAUGCAAUGUCACAAGUUUAAAAAGGCUCCCUGGGAUAAGAGCCCACAAGGGUUCUGAGGUUUUAACUCGUACCGCUAAGUAUCUUCCUCCGCAGCCCGCCUCCGAGGCAGUUUGUGCAGGAGCACGUGCGAACAGCUUCCGUCUGUGGCCUGGCUUGCCGUGUUAACACCGCAGUGCUUUUCCGCUCCCUCUGGAAGAAGUUCUCGGGACUAAACUGCCGUGAGGUGGCGAAGGAAGUUGCAAAUACUUACGAAAGUAUAUUUUCAUAUGCGUUCUACACUGAAAGCAGGUGUACCACUUCGGGCAAGAUUCGUUGGAAAAAAAACCACUGUAACAAUAAAAUAAAAUUACACUUGAAGGUCUGUGUGGAGAUUAUACAGUUUCUGCAGCUAGUCUGGCAUUGAUAAACAGCCUAGAGCAUUGUUUAUAAAAUCUUAUUCCCUGAAAGCUUCCCUUAAACUCAGUGCUACCUGCCUGUCCAUGAAGCUCCCUAAAGUAUGAUGGAUAAUGUAACUCAGUAUGUCUUUUUUCAAAAGGAUAGGAAAAAAUGAUCAAAUUUAUACUGACUGAUUGUCAGCCUUUGAAUCACCUGAAUUUUAUCCCUGUCUUAAAUUGGAAGGAUGGAUUUGUACAGAGUGAUAGUUUAUGGUUAAAGGAAGGGGCAAAAUCUGGCCUUUGGCAUAAAGUUAAUGUAAUUAUUUCCCAAAAAUGCAGACCGUGCUAAUGCCAGCUGGUUUUGGCAGCAUUAUUGCAUUGUUCUUUCAUCCCACAAAGGUCACUUCUUCUGCUGGCAGAAGUAUUCGGGACGUGUGAAUGGAACUGAAGUUUUGUCACUGCAAACAUACUCGGGCUAUCGGUGAAUGGAACAAGGGCAUUGUCACUGCAGCCAUCUCCUAGGAUGCUCUUAAGCUCUACUCUUGGAUGCCUCCAAAAAGAAACAACAUUGGGGUUGAGAAAAAUCUUGUUGUGAGGACGAUAGUCAGACAUGGUUCCAAUCAACCCAGAACAGAUGUUGCAGCUGUCUGUGUACAUGCAGCCUGAAUUUUUUGCCUUGUUGGAUUUGGUAAGGACUCAGACUGUUUUUGGAUAUUUUAGCUCUUCCAGGGGCAGGCUCACAGAUAUUGGCAGGUGUGAACUUUAUUGCUUGUGGUUUAGGGAGUCACUGAAAUGAAGAGACUUUCUUGUAUCAGCUUGAUUGGUUUUGAAUCAAUGUUGUGGAAUACGUAUCCUAAAUAGCUUUUGCAAGCAUUUACUGAAUAUGAAGGCUGCCAGUUCCUUAGGGCUCACAGUGUUGUCAAUCCAGCAAGCUGCUCUCACAGAAAGAGCUUCCCACCUUUUUUAGAUGCUAGUUUCACAGGCAAAUGCUCCUUGUGCUCACAUUUGACUCAACGCAGAGCAAGUUUGGCAUCAUGUGACAGUUUAAAUUCUGGUUAUUUAACUUAAAUGUAAUUCUACUAUAUUUUGUCAGCUGAGAGUGCAACCUAGCAGACACUUAUGCAUGCUUCUAAGUUAAAACACAGCUAUUAUUAACUAUUAGCUAUUAUUAAGUAUGACUGCUAACUCUGUUAUCCUCUGAAUGGCUUGUGUGGAUUGCACUGAUGCUGAAGUGAGCUGUGUAUGACCUGUGCACAUGGGAGCAGCAUAGCCACAUUUGCACAGUAUUGGACUGUCUUAACUGGUUCAUAUGGGUGCAAGUUCCAAGAUCUGCACUCCAGCCACUUCUGUUGCUGACCUUCGUUUCCUCCAUCAUAGCUUCCUUCUCCUUCAUACCAUAUAUGCCUUCAUUCAAACUGAAAUAUUCUCCAUGUUAUCUUUGGUUUUGUUUUAUCCUGGAUAUCCCAAACUACUAUUAGUUCAGUUAUUUGUAAGUUAACUGUACACAGCUAAAUUGAACACAUGCUUAGUAAAAUAUAUAUUCAAUUUCUUUGAAACCACAAAGUCUUAGUAUACCCAAGUGCUCUGCUUAUUUGUGGCUAUUCAGGAUUAGACCCUAUUUGACAUGUAAGAUUUAAACACUGAACAAAAAUAACAAAAACAUAACUCACUUUCUGUAGUGUACUUGCUAUGGAGAUUCUCAUGAAAAACUGAAAUACAAGUUAAAUACAUACUUAUUUUAUUUCAGGCUAUAGAAUAAGUGUAUUUAGGCAGUUUUUCAAAGUGUAUUGUACACUGCAUGCACAGUAAAUCAGUUUAAUAGCUUGACUGUUUUACAUUUUGUGUUCAAAGAAUUGUAUGAUAGGCAAUGAGAUCAUGUUAUGGUCUGAUUUGUUGUCCAUUUGGACCAUGUCCAUUUAUUCAUAAAACUUUGAGAAACUCAACCUGACAGAUGAAAUGUAUAUGAAUCGUUUUAAUAUGAGCAUUUGCUCUGAGAAAGAAACUUCAUAAAAGUUAUGUUCAAUUUAUAAAUCUCUCCAAAUAGAGAAUUUAAGACAAGAAAUUUUGAACGUGAUUUCAUUGCAGUAUGACACUGAAGAUUGGUGUAAUAUUUGUCAAAAUGAUGUAACAGUUUCCAAGUACAGAUUUUGGAAUCUUAUGAUAGAAAGAAAUCAAGAUAGUAUUUUAUGGCCCAUACAUUUAGCUUUAAUGUCCUUGGAUGGAUGGCUUGUCUGUGUUGAGAAGAAUUUCUACCUAUCUGAAAUAUCUUAUUAAAGAUAGCUCAUGACUAGCAGGUCACCAUCAAAUAAAGAAUCAAGAAUA